rnacentral:rRNA from 1 species
AUUGAACGCUGGCGGCAGGCCUAACACAUGCAAGUCGAGCGGAUGAAGGGAGCUUGCUCCUGGAUUCAGCGGCGGACGGGUGAGUAAUGCCUAGGAAUCUGCCUGGUAGUGGGGGAUAACGUCCGGAAACGGGCGCUAAUACCGCAUACGUCCUGAGGGAGAAAGUGGGGGAUCUUCGGACCUCACGCUAUCAGAUGAGCCUAGGUCGGAUUAGCUAGUUGGUGGGGUAAAGGCCUACCAAGGCGACGAUCCGUAACUGGUCUGAGAGGAUGAUCAGUCACACUGGAACUGAGACACGGUCCAGACCCCUACGGGAGGCAGCAGUGGGGAAUAAUGGACAAUGGGCGAAAGCCUGAUCCAGCCAUGCCGCGUGUGUGAAGAAGGUCUUCGGAUUGUAAAGCACUUUAAGUUGGGAGGAAGGGCAGUAAGUUAAUACCUUGCUGUUUUGACGUUACCAACAGAAUAAGCACCGGCUAACUUCGUG